rfam:TPA: Bos taurus chromosome 23, whole genome shotgun sequence.
UCCCUGGUGGUCCAGUGGUUAGGACUCUGCACUUGCACUGCAGGGGGCACAGGUUCGAUCCCUGGCUGGGGAA